rnacentral:ncRNA from 1 species
AAAUUGUUCUCCGAAUUAAUAUGCCUAAAGGAUUUCCCAGGGAAUAUUAGUCUGGAUUUUAUAUCCACAGGGUGUUCUUAGAAAUGAGGAUGCCUCCCGAAUUUGGAAAGGGGAAUAAGUACG